GGAGAGGGAUCCGUUAUUGAUCUUCUCUGCUCGUGUACGAGAGAGAGUUCCCUCUCUUCUGUGAGGAGAAACGUAUCGGAAGAAGGCGAGAAGCAACCGCAUCGGGCACUCGCGACGAGAGCCCGACGCGAAGUGAGAGCUACUCUCGUCGCAUCGCGUCGCGUCGCGUCGUGUCGGUAGUCCGUCGUCCGUCGUCCGUCCCGAGUAAGCGUUGCGCGGUUCGGAGUUCGGCUAGCCUGUCCGGGAAGCGUGGCUAGGUGGCGAACAGGGCCGAAUAGCGACGAAGACGAUCGAACGUAGCCGAGCUCGACAUCGGCCGUCUUGUCGUUCGGAUCUAGUGGUUCAGUGCAUGCAUAGCGGCCGGCCGGCGUGCAUAGUCGGUUGAUAACGGAAUUGGAACCUUCUUUCGGCCCUAAAUCAUCGUUUCGGGGGGGAUUAUUUUUCUAUCGCUGCGCUUUUGUUGUAUGGAAAGGUGUGCGAAGUAGGGGCGAAGCAUCGAGGAAAGGCGCCGUCGUGCUCGCGCUCUCGUCGGCACCGGGCCUCGGGGCCCGGGGGCCAUCCCGUAACACGCGGUUAUGGAGUUCCUAGGCUCGUCCCGGUUAGGAACCAGCUACAAUAUCUGUGCGCGGGCGUUACCCCGUCGGUUUUCUUCUCGCGUACUAGUCAGCAACUCCGCUGCGACGACAGCCAAGCCCUGAAUCAAGCUCCGUGUCAAAGGUGAUAUGCUCGUCGGAAGAAAUGCUAGCCUGAAACGCACGGUGAAAACGGGAGAUCGUUGGUGGAACGAGUCGCGAAUACGAGCGAACGAUCUCUGACAAUGAUGACCGAAAGAUGAAACGGAAUCCUUAUGGUGAAAUCUGCUAGGAGGGAACAGUUGUAUCGAAUAAAAAUAGAGGAGAGAAAGGGGGAAUAAAGGAAGAGGUAGAAAACUGGCGUCCCAAAGACGUGACGGUGGAUCCCGCGGGACUCGGACCCGUCGACGGACAAAUGGUGGUGGAUCCUUGUCGAGCCGUGGAAGCGCGACGGGUAUGCAAUGCGGCCUGUGCGCCGUCGUCGCGGGACUCUUUCGGAGAGCCAUGUGUAUCGCGGGCAGCAGACGUGGUUCCGGGGAAUCCUGCUACCAGGAACUCACCACCGAGGUUCAGGUGCGACGGCACUCGCAGGUCGCGCCCAUUGAGACCGGCCUGAAAGCGGCUGAGAUCGCCGAACACGUUAAAGAGGCCGUUCAGACGCAGGAGAGGAGAAGCGCAGAGAUAACGGUGGACAGUGGGGAACAGAAUGCUGUAUUCGUCCGUCUUUCCGAAAGCGCCGCACUGCCAACGUCAGGUGUGUCAGCAACUAUAACAGAGAUUCGGGAUGAAGCAAAACCGGAAGCAGCAGCGUCGAGACGUUUGUCAGAGGUGGACCGAGUCCUGCUGGAAAGUUUGGAUAUCGGUCACUCGAGACCUAGGCCUACCGGUCGAUUCCUGACGAUGCAUAAAAGACGUCGUAAGAGGCUUACCACGAGAUCCUUAACUCAAGAGCCUGGUAUUCUGGACGAUAUUUUCCACGGCCUGGUUCAGUGCGUGUUACAAAAGGCCGGAAACUGGCGAUUUAAUGCAUUCACGCUGGAAACAGUGACGGGAGGACGUUCCCUACCGGUGUUAUGCGUGCAUCUUUUUCACUGGUACGGGCUACUGCAGCACUUUAAUCUAGACGUGGUAACGGUGUGGAAAUUAUUUGCCUUCAUCGAGGAAGGUUAUCACAGUACAAAUCCUUACCACAACAGUAUACACGCCACAGAUGUUACUCAGGCUAUGCAUUGCUUCCUCCAAGAGGAAAAGAUUAGAACACACUUAACCAACUUGGAGAUCAUGGCUGCACUGAUAGCCGCGGUGACGCAUGAUCUCGAUCAUCCGGGCGUCAAUCAACCGUUUCUGGUUGCCACGAGCAAUCAUUUGGCUGCUCUCUAUCAAAACACGUCGGUUCUUGAGAAUCAUCAUUGGAGAUCGGCGAUCGGCUGUCUGUUAGAAAGCGGCGUCUCGGAUCAAUUGCCUGCUAACGUGAGACCUGAACUUCAACGACACAUCAGCUCGUUGAUUUUGGCCACGGACAUCACGAGGCAACAGGAAUUUCUCGUUCGAUUCAAGCACUAUUUGGAUGAAAAUCUCUUAGAAAUGAAACGGCCGGACGAUCGGCACUUCAUUUUGCAAAUAGCUCUGAAAUGUGCAGAUAUAUCGAACCCGUGCAGACCGUGGGAUAUUUCAAGGAAAUGGUCGUACAAAGUAUGCGAAGAAUUCUUUCGGCAGGGCGAUUACGAGCGUCGAUUGAACCUUCCAGUAACGCCGUUAUGCGAUCGGCAUACCACUAGCAUACCAAAGAUACAAGUUGGAUUCCUCAAGUUCGUCGUGACGCCUCUGUACGAGGAAUGGCAUCGUUUCCUGGGCGACGGAUUAAGCGUAUCGUUGAUGGAGCAUCUACGCGGUAAUCAGAAGAGAUGGGAAGCCUUGAAUCUGCAGGAAACCGCGGAGGAAACGGAAACGGAGAUAUCCGAGCUGGAGGAAGCGGAAGACGCGGUUAGCUCUGUGGAUGAUCCGGUCGCGGACGAGGACGACACAGGAAGCAUCGACUUGCUGAUACCAGCUGCGUACGUUCAGUCUUCCCGGAUGCAAAGCCUACCGGCGCGAGUUGGCUUGGAACGCGUGGGAAGACGUCAUUCGGUACCGCUGAGCGUAUCGAAGCCUUUAACGUUGCUGCCGCGAAGCGCAGCCAGACGCGAGAGUCUGCCCACUGAGCAGAGUAAAUCAAAAACGAAUCUGUUGCUAAAGUUGGAGGAGCAAAGCUUCCUGGACCCCAGCUCGUUAUCGUUGCUAUCGUCCAAGAGCAGCAUUGGCCAGGAACUCUCACCGAACGCCAAUACCGGUGAGAGACCUGUCAGCGCUGAGAGUCUUCUACCAGAACCGAGUAUAGCUAGCAUCACUAAUAGCGCUGAAGCGUCGAGGCUAAGUACAGUCUUGCAGCCAGAAGCUCAGAAAGCGGGUACACAAUCGAAACAGUUAACGAGGCAACAAACCUUCCCUCCCCUGCAGCCAUACGUUAGAAUGAGAUAUCUGUCUGCCACCGCGGAAAUGGCGCAAUGCUACUCUCAGAUCUUGAUAGAGGGAGACAGCUCUAGCUCGUCGUCGUGCUCUGCCAAGGAGAAAUCUUGCUCGGAUGGUCGUUGUGGUACACCGCCAAAGUUCGAGGGAACCUCGUCACAAGUAAAGGCUAGCGUAAAGAUAACGAAAGAGAUUGAGGUACCAGGGAAGAAAUACGGGUCCGCGAUUCCAGAGUUGUUUAAGCAGAAGAUGGAGCCUCCUUCGAGUGGCGAUCAUUUGAGACGUCAUUCGGUGCAAACUAUCCGCGUCGAAGACGCCAGCCUUAAAACUGGCAAAAGGCGACCCUCUUCUGCUCAAGGAAUCGAUUUCACGCAGAGUUUCUAUGCGUCUUUGACCGGUUCCAGCGAAGAGAAAGAGAGUCGUGCUACUGAAACAGGCUCCAAGACGGAUGGUACUUCCGUCUUUGUUUCGAAAGUGAAAUUAUAUGGUGAUAAACCGGUAGGCGAGAAUCAACGGACUACAGUGGCGUUCAAGUCGGAUCAGUGCAGUUCGAUGCAGGUUACGAGAAUGAAGUGCAUCGAUUCUGAAUUACGAAGAUACUCAACUCCUGUGCCAGAAACUAAGACAAUAAUGACUGAUAGCGGGGGUAGACGAUUUACCGCAAUACCAGUGACCUCCGAACUUAGUACUCAUAAGGUGUUCUUCAUCGGAAGCCCACCGGAUUCACCGCCUCUCGUACAAAGCGUGUCGUCGUCCAGCGAUAGUGGUAGUGAACCGCGACGAAGUAUCGGUGGUGGUGAUUCGAAUAACGAGCUCGUUUCUACUGGCAGCAAACGUGACUCGGAACCUAUGAAAGAAAAGAGCUCUAAGAUUGCCAAAUUGAGCCACGAUGUACAGAUGAAGGAAAACGUUGAUCCACGGGCGGUAGAAGAUCCUAAAGGGAUUCCUUUGUCUCGAAAGGGUAGUCAGUCAUGGGCUAGAAGGCGUGGAUCUGCUCCAGUUGGUUUGCUAUCAAGAUUAGAUGACAUCGCAAUGCCACCUAUACCAUCUAGAGUUGAUCAUACUUCCAGACGUGGGUCUGUACCCGCUGACAUUACCAGGCAUCAAGCUGGAGGUGUCAAUAGAUUAGCCUUAGGACCUCGGGAGGGUAAUGUUGCAACACCUAGGAGAGCCAGUCUUCCACAAGAAACUGCUCUUGGAAAUCUUCUUGGCAAUAUUUUAUCUUUAACCAAUGAACGAGAAAAUCUCCCAAUAAAUAAUAACAAUAAUAAUAACAAUACCGGAAGUAGCAACAAUAACGGAAUAACAAGACUAAUCGAUAGCACCGGCCCUAGCAUGCCGUCCCCGCGGCGAGGUUCAGUGCCAGCAGACAUAUCUGAAUUACGCCGUGAUAUGUUCAAUAGGAGUAGUAUAAAUGGUAAGCCUCGUAAUCGGAAAAAGAUUUUGAGGAGGAGAAGUUCCGGAGGACCGGAAAUGUUUUCUGGAGGAUCAACAGAUGGAAACGAUAAUGGCACAUGGCUUAAAUGGAAGAGGGAACUUGGAAAAAAGGACUCUAUUCCUGAACCACUCGUCAAACGAAGAGGUUCCCUGCCCAUAGAGAUGGUGGCCAUUUCUCAUGCUGGUCGGUACAAUCAUAGAUAAAGGAGGAUGUCGUUAAACAAGCCGGUACCAUUGCGUUCUCCACUAAUAUUUAUACGAGAUCUGGAUCAGGAGCACGAAGAUCAAGCUUGUGGAGACUUUAGCAUGCAGCAGAAACGAGUGGACCGUCCGUGAUACCAGCGGUUAACAUAAGAUCAUCGAAUACUACCAUAUUGACAGUCUUUCCUUACAACAUUAGCAGCAACAGCGAUGAUUGACUUCCACGUUUCAGAAUUGCCAAAAACUGGAACUCUUCUUACCAAUCGUAAUUGUGGGCAAGUGAAUUUUGCAAAAUUAACCACGAUUUGCAAUAUUUGCAAUAUUUGCAAUAUUUGCAAAUUAAAACAAUUAUAAAAACAAUUACAACGACAGCGAUUUCUGCAUCAAUUGCUGACAAUUUCAAUGCUGUUGUCAUAAUAAUUGAUAACUAUCGUAUACUAUAUUCAUUGGGACAGAAUACAAAUUUAAGAUUGGCAAGAUAGUAACAUGAAAUUUUAUGACAGGGUUUAAAUAACGAAAGGAGAAUAAAACUAUUAAUUAACUAAAGUCUUCCCCGCAAUUUACGCGUCCGCGUGGAAGAAAUACAAUGUAUACACAUAGUAGUUAUGUGAGCUCUACAUAUAUCCAUUUGUGCCAUAUACACAAAUGUUGUUAAAAACAAGAUACAGUCAAACACAGGGUUCAAUAUGACGAUUUUAAUAAUUAAAAUGCCUAGGUAUGGAGAAGGAAAAAAAGACUGGUAGAAAAGUUCACCGCUAUAAAAUUAGACACUUAAAGUGACACGUAAAUUGAUUGAAAUGUAAUGAUAUUUGCUCAUAGUUAAGAAACUUACAAUUUUUUAAAGAAUUCGGCAGGAUAAUAUUUAUCUUCACUCAGUUAGUCAUUCUUAGCAUUCGUCAUCCCCAUCAAAUUCGUUUAUGCAUCCGCCUUAAUAAAUCAAAUUUUUUAUCUCCAUCGACGACGUUACGAAUACGUAUGUACAACGCAAAGCGAUUGAAUUUUAUUUUUAGGUUGAAAAUAAGGAAUAAUAAUGGCUAUGAGACGUAUAUAAGUAUAUACAUAUGUAUGUAGCGCUGAUAAAAAUGUAUACAUACUCAAUAUCGGAUGUAGUUUCCUUUGAACUUUAAUGAAAAUCGAAAUAGACAUUCCAUUAAAACAGAUAGUAUGCAAUGCGUAGAACAUGAAUGAAAAUUAAUAAUGGUGAAGUUGUUUAUUACUAUUUAUCAUCAUUCAUUAUAACAUCAUAAUCAUAACCAUCAUUAUUGUCAUCAUCGUUGUUGUUAUUAUACAUACAUAUAUAUAGUUACGAAUGAAAAUCUUAAUGAUCGUUAAAGUAGAUAGAUAUUGUAAACUUAGGGAAUAAUAAUAUGUGCGUUUAACCAUGAAGUUAAUUAGUUAGUGAAUUGCGUGAAAUUAUAAUCAUGAUUGUUUACUAUCGAUGAAAAUUAAAGAUGGUUACGAUGCAUAGGUUUACGGUACGUGAACCAAAAAAUAAUCAAAAGCUGUGACAUUUGUUUAUACUCUCUCCUAAAAUACUAAUUCAGUUAUAUACCUUUUUAAUUAAUAAGAUUUAGUUACACAAAGUACAAUUGUUAAACUGCCUAUGCACAAACGUAUACAAUAUUGUCCUGUUUUAUUGUAAAAAUCUUUUUAUUAUAAAAUUAUUAUAUAAAGAUACGUUAAUAGUAUUUUUAAUUACUUUUUAAAUGGAGAACGAAAAGACAUUGUAAUUUUAUGUCACGUACUGCUAUAACCUGUCGUCCCUCUGACUGUCAGAAAGUAAAGAACUAUUAUUAAGUCAUUGCAGUUUGGUAAUGAUAUAUAACAAGUCUAAUAAGUUUAUAACUAAUCAAAGUAAUAAUUGAUAUCUGUAUUGAUGUGAUAUAGAUAGGUCCUCCAUUUUCCAAGCAAAAUGUUGCCAAGCUUAACAAACUUUCUCUGAUAAAAUUUUUAAUCUUCUCGAUGCAGGAACUGUCAGAGCUUUAUGUGUAUUUCACUCGAUGACCAGGAAACAGAGGUGGAAAAAAAUCGCCUUAAAUAGAUUCUCAGUCUUUAAACAUAAAACACAGAAACAAUUCUUAAGUUUUCCUAUUUCUAAUGCAGAAACACUGCAUCAAUGACUUGUUGUAUAAGUGUAUUAAGUAAGUUAGCGUAAAACUACUAGUCUUUCUAACUCUUAAUAUAAUUUGUACAUAAAUAUAUAUAUAUAUAUAUAUACACAUAUAUAUUAUAUUCUCAUUCGACAAAAGAAAUCCACAGGCAACACCAAGGAACACAUUGAUGAAAGAUAUUGGAAAAUUUCAUUAAAAACUUUAUUUAUUUAUACUUUUUAAGAAAUUUACCUUUACAGACAGACCAAUGCAAAUGGGACUAAACA